CAUCUAAGCACGAAACUUGCCCCGAGAUGAGUUCUCCCUGUGACUUAGAGUCUCCUGAAGGAUCGUUGAAGACGACGACGUUGAUAGGCCGGGUGUGUAAGCGCAGCGAUGCGUUGAGCUAACCGGUACUAAUGAACCGUGAGGCUUAACCUUACAACGCCGAAG
rnacentral:rRNA from 1 species